rnacentral:rRNA from 1 species
UACGUAGGGCGCAAGCGUUGUCCGGAAUUAUUGGGCGUAAAGAGCUCGUAGGUGGUUUGUUACGUCUGCUGUGAAAACCUAGGGCUUAACCCUGGGCCUGCAGUGGAUACGGGCAGACGUAGAGGUAGGUGAGGGAGAAGUGGAAUUCCCGGUGGUAGCGGUGAAAUGCGCAGAUAUCGGGAGGAACACCGGUGGCGAAGGCGGUUCUCUGGGCCUUACCUGACACUGAGGAGCGAAAGCGUGGGGAGCGAACAGG